rnacentral:rRNA from 1 species
GAUGAACGCUGGCGGCGUGCCUAAUACAUGCAAGUCGAGCGAAUGGAUUAAGAGCUUGCUCUUAUGAAGUUAGCGGCGGACGGGUGAGUAACACGUGGGUAACCUGCCCAUAAGACUGGGAUAACUCCGGGAAAACGGGGCUAAUACCGGAUAACAUUUUGAACCGCAUGGUUCGAAAUUGAAAGGCGGCUUAGGCUGUCGAUUAUGGAUGGACCAGCGUCGCAUUAGCUAGUUGGUGAGGUAACGGCUCACCAAGGCAAAGAUGCGUAGCCGACCUGGGAGGGUGAUCGGCCCCACUGGGACUGAGACACGGCCCAGACUCCUACGGGAGGCAGCAGUAGGGAAUCUUCCGCAAUGUACGAAAGUCUGACGGAGCAACGCCGCGUGAGUGAUGAAGGCUUUCGGGUCGUAAAACUCUGUUGUUAGGGAAGAACAAGUGCUAGUUGAAUAAGCUGGCACCUUGACGGUACCUAACCAGAAAGCCACGGCUAACUACGUGCCAGCCGCCGCCGUAA